rnacentral:miRNA from 1 species
CAGUCGCUACCACACUGCUAUCU